GACGAACCGUGCGAACGUUGUUCGGAAUCACUGGGCUUAAAGGGCGCGUAGGCGGGCGAUCAAGUCAGAGGUGAAAUCCCACGGCUCAACCGUGGAAAGUGCCCCCUGAUACUGGUUGUCUCGAGGGAGAUAGGGGGCGUGCGGAACUUUUGGUGGAGCGGUGAAAUGCGUAGAUAUCAAAAGGAACACCGGUGGCGAAAGCGGCGCGCUGGAUCUCUACUGACGCUGAGGCACGAAAGCCAGGGGAGCAAACGGG
rnacentral:rRNA from 1 species